UUAACACAUUAUUUUAUUUAAUAGUCGCAUUUUGAAAAGAGAGAAUAAAAUAUGAGAAUAAAAUUAUAUACUAUUAAACACUAGAAAAUCUAACGUCCAUGUAUGUAUUUUUUUUAUAUAAAGCUGCUUUAAUGAUUUACAUUUACAUUCAAUGUAAAUCACACAAAAGGGCCUGACUUAAAAAAAAUGGGUUAUUCUUUAUGUUAAUGUAAUAAACGGGUUGUAUGAAGCUGCCUUUUUUUUUUUUUUCUUGAGACAAGGGCUGUUAAUUGUUAGAGAAGGAAGAAUGGUUUCCAUAUCAGUGUGUACAAGGGUCCCACCGUCAGGAGGAAAUAGUGAAAUUUGCUUUUUGUGAUGGGAAGUUGUUAUACGCGGGAUCACGAAAUAUUUAGUAGAAAUUGGAGGGAAAUAAGCUUUUCGUUUUUAAAAGUCUUUAGUUGAUAAAGUGACUUCAGCCCACUACACAAAAGUAGCGCAGUACAGACAAAAAGUUAAGAGUUAUCUCAUUGGUGGAAAAGGAGCAAGAGAGCCCUGUAUUCAAACUGACCUUUAAGCACCAAGAGAUCAGCCCUAUUUUUGGGUGCAGGACCUGCAUGUUAGUUGUACUUGCUGGAUGUUCCUUGGUGGAAUUAUAAAAUGUCCUGGGCAACAAUAUUUUGGUGGGAUUACUCUGUUAAAGGUUAUGAGAAAACAUUGUAGAAAGCAAAUGGCAUAUGUUGAUAUAAAUCACCCAAGCUGGAAUUUUUUGAUGCAACACUACAAGAGCCUGCUGGAUGCUACAUAUGUGGAUUCACUCCCAGGUUUAAAUUAAUGUAUAGGGUUUAAGGUUAAUGUAUAACCAUGUUGACAACAAUUGGUUGAGAUGCACACAUUCUUCAUCAAGUGUUUAGUGUCAGUAAAUGGAGAUAGGAAUUUAAGUAAUUGCAUGACAAUUAGAAGGAACCUGCUAUAAUGUAUGAUGUAAAAAGUAAAUGAAAUGUUCACAUUCAAGCUUUUUUGAUGAAAUCUGGAUGGCAAUGUACAUGAUAAUUAUUGGAAAAAGUGUAUGGUGUUUGAAUUAUAUUAAAUCUAAAACAAAAGUCCUCAAAAUCUGGUACUUGGCAGAGUACUAAAUGAGAGGAAUCUCAAAGAUAAUUUCCCAUUGGUAAAGCUUAAAUUCUUCCUUGGCUACAUACGUUACUACUCUUUAGACAAAAUCUUCUUGAACUUCUUUAUUUUUUCUGAGUUAGUGUGGUGUAAAGAAUGCUUAAUCUAAUUAGAUCCUGUUACCACAAAUUGCAAAGUAUAGAUAUGUAGUAUCUAAAUUUCUUUAAUUCCCCUGUUUUUAAUAAAGAAUAAUCUAUAUGCAUUUAAGAUGAUCAGGACGUAUGGUUUAAAUUUCUAAAUUCCCGUGAAGUAGUGGUAUAUGCUAAUAUAUGCUAUUUCCCUAGCUCUUAUUAUAUAUAAUAUUGCUCCAAGGUUGUAGAUUGGUUUUGGCAUUUUAUUCAUGAGUCACAGAGUACAUACUGAGCAAUUGGGAUAAAUAUAAAUUAGAUGCAUCUACACAUCUCUAUCUAAUUUUC